rnacentral:tRNA from 3 species
CAGAUAUUAGUUUAUAAAAAUAUUAAUUUUGGAGAUUAAAGAUAAAUAGUUAUUUAUAUCUGA